rnacentral:rRNA from 1 species
CCUACGGGAGGCAGCAGUGAGGAAUAUUGGUCAAUGGUCGGGAGACUGAACCAGCCAAGCCGCGUGAGGGAUGAAGGUACAGAGUAUCGUAAACCUCUUUUGUCAGGGAACAAAGGCGGGGACGUGUCCCCGGCUGAGUGUACCUGAAGAAAAAGCAUCGGCUAACUCCGUGCCAGCAGCCGCGGUAAUACGGAGGAUGCGAGCUUUAUCCGGAUUUAUUGGGUUUAAAGGGUGCGCAGGCGGUCUGUUAAGUCAGCGGUCAAAGCCCGGUGCUCAACCCCGGCCCGCCGUUGAAACUGGCAGUCUCGAGUUGGAGAGAAGUAUGCGGAAUGCGCGGUGUAGCGGUGAAAUGCAUAGAUAUCGCGCAGAACUCCGAUUGCGAAGGCAGCAUGCCGGCUCCACACUGACGCUGAGGCACGAAAGCGUGGGUAUCGAACAGGAUUAGAUACCCGAGUAGUC